rnacentral:rRNA from 1 species
GAUGAACGCUGGCGGCGUGCCUAAUACAUGCAAGUCGAGCGAACAGACGAGGAGCUUGCUCCUCUGACGUUAGCGGCGGACGGGUGAGUAACACGUGGAUAACCUACCUAUAAGACUGGGAUAACUUCGGGAAACCGGAGCUAAUACCGGAUAAUAUAUUGAACCGCAUGGUUCAAUAGUGAAAGACGGUUUUGCUGUCACUUAUAGAUGGAUCCGCGCCGCAUUAGCUAGUUGGUAAGGUAACGGCUUACCAAGGCAACGAUGCGUAGCCGACCUGAGAGGGUGAUCGGCCACACUGGAACUGAGACACGGUCCAGACUCCUACGGGAGGCAGCAGUAGGGAAUCUUCCGCAAUGGGCGAAAGCCUGACCGAGCAACGCCGCGUGAGUGAUGAAGGUCUUCGGAUUGUAAAACUCUGUUAUUAGGGAAGAAAAAAUGUGUAAGUAACUAUGCACGUCUUGACGGUACCUAAACAGAAAGCCACGGCUAACUACGUG